rnacentral:rRNA from 1 species
GAUGAACGCUAGCGGCAGGCCUAACACAUGCAGGUCGAGGGAGAAGCCCUUCGGGGCAGAAACCGGCGCACGGGUGCGUAACGCGUAUGCAACCUACCUUUCACAGGGGUAUAGCCCGAAGAAAUUUGGAUUAAUACCCCAUAAUAUUAUUGGAUGGCAUCAUUUGAUAAUUAAAAUUACGAUGGUGAAAGAUGGGCAUGCGUCCUAUUAGCUAGUUGGAGUGGUAACGGCACCCCAAGGCUACGAUAGGUAGGGGUCCUGAGAGGGAGAUCCCCCACACUGGUACUGAGACAGGGACCAGACUCCUACGGGAGGCAGCAGUGAGGAAUAUUGGUCAAUGGUCGGAAGACUGAACCAGCCAUGCCGCGUGCAGGAAGAAUGCCUUAUGGGUUGUAAACUGCUUUUAUAUGGGAGGAAUAAGGAGUACGCGUACUUUGAUGACGGUACCAUAUGAAUAAGC